UGCACUCUUGAGAGACACAGAGAUGGAGAUUAUUUACAGAAUCUACAGCUCUCCUUCUGGAUUCUGGUCGCUGAGAGAAAAGGUGGAGAAGCACCCACAAAGCAGCUGUGGAAUAAAGAACCCAUUUCACCCUUCAGAGCUCUCCUGCUGCUUUAGUGGAAAACCCGAUGGAUGGAUGGAUAAAGCUUGCAGAAAGAAAAAUCAGCGCUUGGCUAGAGCAAUGCAGGGGAUGUGACAAAAUGUGCCUGAGGAAUAAUGUGGUGACAAAAUCCCAUCUGUGAGGAAACCAGCAGGAAUCAAGACCAGGUGUACUGCACAUCCUUGUUUUGUCCAGGAGAAGCCCCAGUUAUUAACACAGCAGUGAGGCUGAAGUUUCACAUGUGGGAUUCCCUCCAUGGCAGAGGAAUUUUAGCUUGGAAUUCCUCUAGGAAGAUAAUUUGGCAGAAUGCACUACAACAAUUCCUAAUUUUAUUUUGAAGCAACCAUUCCAGAUCAUGACUUUUGUUCUUCCUUGGUCGAGCUGCUAUAGACAUCUUUGUACAAGUGAUUCUGAAUACAAACCUUGGUUUUGGCAUAAUUUGUCUGAUACAGUUGUGAGAGAAAAUCCUCCCUUAUUGUAAUAGGUAAAACACUGAAGCUAAAGGCAUUUUUGUGAUGCAAUAUUGUGACAGAGCUUGUGAUGAACUGGGUGGUGUGUGGUGCAAACAAGUGGGGAAAGUGAAGUGCUAUACUGAUACUCAAUGUAUAUUUUUAGUCUUGACUGAGUAUCUCCUCUUUCUCUGUAGGAUGAAAUGACAUGAUUUAUCAUCUCAAGCUCUCCUGUACAGACCUGGGGAAUAGAUAAUGCCCCUGUGGAAGCUGAGAUAAAGCCAUGUGAUCUCAGCAGCCAGUACAUAAUGAAAAAUACUAAAUAUUGUGGAAGGUUUCAGCUGGCAACUCUCCAGGGCAACUUUUGGUCAUUUGGGAUGUUGCUUAUCCAGGACCUUGCUGUCCAUAAAUGUGCUUCUCAUGAUGGAGAAAAGUUUGAAGACAGAAAAAAUAUCAAGAUUUGUUAUGUGUAGUAUCUAGCUUGCUGUUUCCAGCAUUUUUAAUAUAAAUAGUGUUACUGUUCAAGGGAAGCAUAAAUCCUCAAUGCCCUUAAUUAAUUCUGGAGUGAAAUGCUAAAUUCAGGGUGUGUGUGUAUGUAUAGAAAAUAUGGAUUGCUGAUAUUUUUUGCUGAUAGAUGUCAAGCAAGGUUGUUUUUUGUCAUGCUCUGUUUUGACUAUUGUUCUGUAAACCUCCUUCAAGGAAAAUAUUUCUGUGGCAGAUUGAUGAUGAGCAGGCCACAGGUAGGUUGACCCAGUGAUUGAACUAGGAAAGGAUUGUGCCUUUGGUCAACUCGAUCAUGACAGAGAAAAUGAGACAGAGUUGCAGUCUCAGAGCACAACAGAACUUUUUUGUAAUGCAAAAAUGACUCCAUGGAGAAGUUGGGGAAUUAUUGACCUAAGAAAGAAUGAAGCAACCUUUUCAGAAAAGGUUAUGAGGCCUGGUGAAUUGGAACUGUGGGUUAGAGCAGGCUUCAAUAUUUGCAUUGGAAUCAUCUUGGGGCACUGUGAUGAAAGCAUGGGAUAAAUUAAUGACUCUGCUUCUGAGUGAAAGCUGGUGGGUUUUUUGAACAAAUCAAGUAAAAAUGAGUUUAGGUGGUUCUCAGAUUUGGAAGCUGCUAGAAAGCAUCCAAACCAAGUCGGAAAUAGUGUCUCCUCCUGAUGUUGUUCACUUAAACCUACUGCCUGUUGCAGGUAUCAGAGUUCAUCUGUUCACUUCUCACAGCUUUGUCAGGCUUUGAUGGUGAGAACCUGUUCAGAUAUUCAAAGAACAUCCUAGAUAUGAUUUGACAAGGACAGAUAUCUGUCAUUUGGUGAAAAAAUAAAAGGCUGCCAAUGCAACAGAAAAAAGCCUAUAUUUGAUGGCAUAUGAAAAUUUAUCUCUUGUAAUCCCAUUUCUGACUGCUAUUUCUUUUUCUCCAGCAUAGAUGUGAUGCAUCUCAAGGGAAAGUGUCUUUCUGGCUAUUGAAUACUUCUAAAUUGGGCUGUGCAUGUUGCUUAACCUGCAGAGUAGUGCUUAGAUUGUACAAAUUAUGGCAUGGCUAGGGAGCUGAAGGCCUCAUGGUGCCAGAUGUUCAGGAGGCUUCUCAUCUUUGUAAGAAUUCGGUGAACUCUUCAAGAACAAGAGCAUAGUGGCCAUCUAUUCUGAUUUAAUAUGAUUUUAUUACAAACAAGUGACAACUGGCAUGAACAGAUCAGCCUGGCCACUUCAGCUUCGUCGUGGGAAGUGCUGGUGCUUGCUGUGUCAUGUCAUGCUUGCCAUGCUGGUGAGGAUGGUUGAGAACUUUGGAACUUUUACUUUUUGGGCUCCCUGGAGACACCUCUAUUCACUGGGCUGGGGUAGAAAUUUAAUGGUGCCAAUUAAAAAACUAUAUUGAGUUAUUGGUUUUGGGGUUUUUUUUCAGUUUUUGACUGCCUUGCUAUUUGAUUUUAUUUGAAAUCAAAGAAUAGCAGAGAACAUUGAUAACUUCUUUUACAAAAUACUUCUGGUUAAAAAGAGAUUUUGACUUACUGGUGAAGUGGAUUUUGCCAAGCAACAAAAGCCUGAACCAGACAAAACAAACUCCUGCAUCUCAGUUCUACCCUGUGAGUGGAUCACUUCAGCAAGGACUCUUUCAUGUGGCUAAAGAGCAGUGUCCCUCUGUCACAACACACACACUACCAUGGAAUUCUUGCAGCUUAAAAGCCUUUGAAAGCACUAAGAAAAUG